rnacentral:rRNA from 1 species
CCUACGGUGUGCAGCAGUGGGGAAUAUUGGACAAUGGGGGAAACCCUUAUCCAGCGACGCCGCGUGAGGGAAGAAGGUUUUCGGAUUGUACACCUCUGUCAGUGGGGACGAUAAUGACGGUACCCACGGAGGAAGCCACGGCUAACUACGUGCCAGCAGCCGCGGUAAUACGUAGGUGGCAAGCGUUGUCCGGAAUUACUGGGUGUAAAGGGUGCGUAGGCGGGAUGUCAAGUCAGAAGUGAAAAUUAUGGGCUCAACUCAUAAACUGCGUUUGAAACUGAUAUUCUUGAGGGAAGUAGAGGAAAGCGGAAUGCCUAGUGUAGCGGUGAAAGGCAUAGAUAGUAGGAGGAAAACCAGUGGCGAAGGCGGCUUGAUGGGCUUUUACUGACGCUGAGGCUCGAAAGCGUGGGGAGCAAACAGGAUUAGAUACCCUAGUAGUC